AGCUUGGUGGUGUAACGGUUAACAUGCCUGCUUCAAGUAAGAGUAGCCCAAAUAAUUUAUAGUAGGAGAUUUCUUGUUCGAAUCAACUUGAAGGCCAGGCCA